UGGAAAUGAAUCACAACAACACAGUCAGACGACGUAUUCAUCGCAAAACUCUCAAACAAGCUCUAAGGAUUUAUAUUCUCUACAAAAACAAGCUUCUUCAUUUGAACAGUACCAGAAAAUCUUGCGAAAGACAAGAGACGAAUCACCAAACUAUUUCUCAAAAUAUGCUAGCAACAGACCCAUACUAUUGAAUUCCUCCACAAGCGACGAAAUCUCCAACCACUCAACGAAAUCUAUUCAAGAUGAAAAGCAAAAUAUUUUUGUUAAAGAAGAGAGAGAUUUGCUGCAAACUUUCAUCAACCUUUUAAAAGAAUACUCUACGGAGGUAAAUUUAUCGUUGAAGCAUUUUAAAGAAAAUGUAGAAGAGACAUUACAGUCAAUCAUAAAUACCAGAGAAAAAGGCACCGAAGAUAUCAAUGAUAGAUUUGAAAGCAUGAAGAAAGAGUUGAUGGCAAUUUUAGCAUUGAAG